rnacentral:lncRNA from 1 species
UUUUGAGCACAACUAGACAUAUACACUUAAAUAAUCUUAAUGACAUACCGGUUUUUGCAUUUAACCUGGUGGAUUUUCGCACGAAUCUGGCGGUUUUUUUCAUUUAAUCUGGUGGUUUUUUGCAUUCAAUCUGGUGGGUUUUUUUUAUCAUGAUAAACAGUUUUUAUUGCUUUAUUUAAUUUAACUUCCUUAUGUACAAUUUAAGCCCGUUUUCUCUUUUUAAAAAUUUAAAAUGAAUAACGCACGAAGACAAUGCUCAAAGAUUAAUGCUGAAGUAAGAAAUUUGAUCAUUAAUCUUGUAAGUUUACCUUGGUGAUGGACAACGUUAAGUUUCAUCAUUUAUUAUCAGAUUUUUAUGAUAGCGAAUCUUUUCUCACACAAUGUGUUAAUGGAGAUGACAUUAAUAGAAAAUAAAGCAUAAUCAACUUAUGCAUGACAAGAUAACUCCUUGUGAAAUACAUAUAAGAGAGGAGAUAACCAUGGAGGGAAUUCAUUCAAAAUGUGUUAUCUAGUAGCUAAUAUUGUAAAUCUUAAUUCAAAAAACAACACAACAGUUUUUAAUAUAUAUGAAGCCCAAGUCUAUCGGAUAAACCUUCAAAUCGAGCUCUCAAGGCACACAGAUGAAAUAAGACAGAUUCAGUCAAUGAAAUGGAGGUCAACAUUGCUGCUUAUUUUGUAAAAUCACAAAAAACAAAAUUGCAAUUGAGAAUGAAAGAUCGAAAUCAGCCAAUCCUUUUGAGAACAUUUGAAACUUUGAAAUAAAUUUUUGAGCGCUUUAUAAAUGAUGGAAGUAACGAUAAAAAUGCAAAGAAGUUCAAUAAUGUAAUUGAUGAGCUAUUAUUUGAUAUGCCAAUUGAACAGGUAGUAAUUGUCGUUUAAGCAUUAUUGCCAUUAAUAUAUUUACUAUGAUUUUUACUAUGUACUAUAUAUCAAUUAUAAUCAGGGCCGGAUUUACACUUCUAGGGGCCCUUUGAUGGGUUAUGUUUUGGAGCCCUUUUUUUAACUAAAAUUUUCUAUUUUUAUGACAUUUUACAUUUUAUUUAAUGUAUUAAUUUUACCCUAAAAUCAAUUUGAGGCUUGUACAAAAAAUAAUUUAAAUUUUUCACUUAUUUUAGUUAUAGCAAAAAUUUCUGAAAUUUUUCGACAUAUUGGGGCCUCUAUAAUUGCGUGGUCCUAGGACGCGGCCUAGUCAGCCUAUUGAUAAAUCCGGCCCUGAUUAUAAUAAAUCUCUUUAUAGAUAGCGAUACCAGUUCUUCACAUCACGUUAAUAUUAUUUCUUAAAUUUUUUAACUUGUUGGAGAAGGAAUCUAAUCUUCUCGAAAUCAAACUAGCAGGAGUUCUUGCAAAGAAUGAUAAACGUCUUGAUUCAAGUGAAUACGAUGAUUAUUUUGAGAAACAGGUAGAGAUAUUCCUGUCAAAAUAUGCCAUUGAAGGUAUAAAUAACAAAAAUCUUCUUAUUCAAGAUGCUUAUGUUAUUGAAGUAUUUCAUAACCCUAAAAAUUCAGAAAACUUAAAGGUAAUGUACAAAGAGAGAAUUGCACAGUUAGAAUCAAGGAGAACAGAAAAUAUUUACAUUAAAAAGUACUAAAAACAAUGAUAUAUUUUAAAGAAAUUUUCUGGAUUGUUGUACAUCAAUAAUUGUAAAUAUUUUAUUAGGAGGGACGAAUUGCAGAUUGUUCUAAAGUUGAGUUUAAUAAAAGAACUGGCCCUAUAGUUAAGGGAAUUGAAUCUGUUUUGCAGUCAUGUAGUGUGCAACGUCGAGACAAUCAUAUUCAUACAAUGUUAUUGAUAACAUUGUUGUUUAAAUAUAUUUAUUCUUUCAGGCAAUAAAAGUGAUCUGUUUUUCUGUAUACUAUGCAGUCUUAUAGAAUUUUAACAACUUUUUGUUAUCAUUCUCAAUCUGGUCUAAUAUAAUGUAUAUUAUUAAAAUUUAUUUUUUGGAAAAAUAUUUUUUAGUUUUUAGUUUGAAAACAUAAUGAAGUUAUGCAACUCUGUUCUUCAAACAGUUUUCAAUAACAUUAAACAUUUAAUUCAGAUGGAGGCGAUUGGUAUAUGUAAAAAAAAAAGUUUGGUUUCAGAAGUAUUUAAAGUGUCACAAAGAAAUCAACUCGUGCCAAAUAUUCAACAAUACAAAAGUACAGAGUUUUGAAGCAACGGUUCAUGAAUACACAGACUUUUUUUACGAACUAAUUGGCCAAAUGAUUCGAUAACUCCAAAAAUGCAUAUGUUAGAGGAUCAUGUGGGAGUUUUUUUGAAAAAAUGGGGAGUUGGGUUAUAUCGAGAACAAGGUGGCAAAAGUAUACAUGCAGACUUAAAUAACAUUGGAAGAAUAUACUCUAACAUGUCGGACACUCGAAAAUAGAAAGUGUAAUGAAAGAUCAUUACAUAAGAAACAACUUGAUAUCAAAAUCUUUAAAAAUGUUGAUCAUCCCUCAAAAAAAAGAAAAAAUUACAAAUUAAAAUUAUUGUUAUUAAAAUAAAAAAG